GCCGAUGUAGCUCAGUGGUAGAGCAGCUGAUUCGUAAUCAGCAGGUCGCGAGUUCAAGUCUCGCUAUCGGCUCCA
rnacentral:tRNA from 1 species